GCCGAGGUGGCGGAAGUGGUAGACGCAAGGGACUUAAAAUCCCUCGGAGUUUUUACUCCGUGCGAGUUCGAGUCUCGCCCUCGGCACUA
rnacentral:tRNA from 1 species